rnacentral:rRNA from 1 species
UACGGGGGGGGCAAGCGUCGUUCGGAUUUACUGGGCGUAAAGGGCGCGUAGGCGGCGCGACAAGUCACUUGUGAAAUCUCCGGGCUUAACCCGGAGCGGCCAAGUGAUACUGUCGUGCUCGAGUGCGGAAGGGGCCACCGGAAUUCUCGGUGUAGCGGUGAAAUGCGUAGAGAUCCGGAAGAACACCGGUGGCGAAGGCGGCCCGCUGGGCAGGAAGGCUCGCAAGAGCCGGCUGACGCUGAGGCGCGACAGCGUGGGGAGCAAACAGG